AAAAACUGAAAUUGGAAAGACACAAGGGUUAGAGGUUUGUAAUCCUUUCUCCUUAAAGAAUUAAUUUCUUCUGUUAAUCCAUCAUCAUCAAUCUAGACAGAGAAAAGAAGAUUAAAUUUAACAAAUCAACAAGAAGAGAGAAAAAAAAAUCCAACAUAUUACAAAAUGUCAAAAGAGAAACAAGAACAAAAACAAUGAGUCACAAUUCACAAGAGAGAAAAAAAAAAGAAAAUAGAAAAACAUUAAUUUCUUUAAUUGUUUUCUUUUUCUUUCCAAUGUGAUUGAAGAUUAGAAAAUUAAUUUUCUUCACUCAUCCAUUUGUCUGUUAAUCAUCAGCAAUCAUAAGUCAUAAUCUCCACCAAGUGAUACCAACAGGAUAAUCCAAAAGUUAAUAAGAUGCCAUUGGAAAACCGAAAAGAGAUUCAAAAUGGAAAAUGAAAACAAAGACCAAUUGAUCAAUUCCAAAGGAAGUCAAGAGGACCCAUGAAGGAAAAAAAAACUCAGAGAAAAUGACUAAAGGUAAGAGAGAGAGAAAAGAAAAACAUUGAAAGUCAAAUUAACCUGGAAAUUGAAGCCUAAAUGGUAAGAUGAUAUUACCUUGUUGACCGAAUAGUUGAGACUUUGUUCAUCUUGUAUUCCAUUUUAUUCAUGAUUGUUGAUCAUCUUCAUGGAACAAUAUUGAUCGUUAAGAUGUUCCAAAGUUAUCAUCAUCUUUUCUCUCCAACAUUAACCGUUAUUCUUACCAAUAUAUGAAAGAAGAGGAUCUUGAGUAAAGAAGACAAAAAGAUGAGCAAGAUGAACACUCAUAAGGAAAAGGUCAACAAAUGAAAUCAAGUGGAUCCAUAUUCAAGUUAAUAUAUUUGGGUGAUAACAACAAGGAAUUCAUUGAUAUUGUCUUUUGUUUUCGCUGUUGAAUAGUGUGACUAUUUUAACCAGAGAUUAUCUCUUGUUUAUGGUGAUGGUGAUUUACUUACGUAGUAUCUUGAGUACUCGGAAUAUUAUUCAACGUUAACUUUAACGACUAUUGUUGGUACACACACUCCAUCAAAUUUAUGGAAAGACAUCAAACUUAUCAUUGUUAACAAGACAUAUUAUACCAUGAGAGAUGAAAUAUAUCAUGAUGAUAUUAGUAUGACAAUCAUAAGAAAGUGUAUAAAGUAUUUCAAGAAAAAGAAUCAUCGUCUUUACUAUUAACAAGGAGCAUUUCCAAAGGAGGAGGAAAAAGAAAAGAGGUGAGUUUAGUGUAUCAGCCUCUCUUUCUCUCUACCUCCAUCUUAGUGUGAACAGUUCACUUGACUCGAAGAAGUCAAUGAAUUCGAAAGAAUGAGACCCAAAAAAGGUGGAGAAUAAAUCUUUUUGCGAGAAAAAAAAGGAAAAAGAAACAUCAAAGUUACUUAAAAUGAAUUUUUGGCAAUAUGGAGGAGAAAGAAUCAAACUCACACCGAGAAUAUUUCAUGAAACAUUGUAACUGUUCAUCAAUAUACUCACAAUGAAACUCAAUCUAACUGUUGGAAAAUCAUCUCCCCUGAAAUCUCAUUCAACUGAUUCAUGUUGAUUACAACCUAUGGAAUCCAGGAAAGCAGAAGCAAAAUAUCAUAAGUACCACCCAAAAAUACUCAUGGAAAAAAAAGUUUUCACCGAAAAUUGAUAAAAAGCUACAAUUCCAAUAGGAAUCCAUUCAUACGCCUCAAGAGUUACUUAAAUAACUUUUUGUAUAUUAACUCAUGAAGAUGAUAAUGAUGAUAAUAUUUUCACCAUACAAUUUACAAAUAGUUACAUCAUCAACUUGAAUAAUAACAUAUGAUAACUAUCACUUUAUGAGGUGGAUACAAAAAGCAUUUCCUUUUCACCAUGAGAAUUUCCCUCUCUCCGAAUUUCACCUUCCCCAUCCUACCACCUUCAUCGCUCACCAUUCAUACCUUUUUCUCAUAUAAUUAUCAUGACUACCACUCUAUUCAUGAAGAGUUAUCAUUUUGUUCAUUUCAAUGUUGGAUGUGUAUUCUGAUUCCCCAUGAAAAGAGAGAAAGAGGGAAAAUCUUUCACCAAACAAAUUCUUGUUUAUUUAUGUAUCCAAUCUCUUUUCUGUGAAUUACUUUCGCUCGACAAAUCAUCAGAAUGUCUCAUUGAUGGAGAAGAGAGAGAGAGAGAGAACAAGAAUAUAAUAUGAUGAAUUCAGAGAGAAAUUCACUGUUUUCAACUGAAUUUCUAAAGAAAAAGAUCUAAAAAGAUGAAGAGAUUCACAUGGAAAAGAAUAUACACUUUGUACUCGAUAACAUGAUAAAUAAUCUCUGGUGGUUCCAAAUUUCUAUCGUUUACAAUUUAAUUGCUCAUCUUAUGGAUAAUUGGAAAAUGAUGAUAAUAUCGAUAAUACUGAUUUUAGUUUAUCAAUACAAAGGAAAAUACGAAAACUGUUAAAUUUAAAUGAUGCCCUGAAGGUGAACCGCAAUUAUUAAUAAUAUUAUCUUUUAAUAAAUUUCACGAAAAACGGAAAUGAAAUGUUUUCCAUCAAGUGAAACGAUUAUAAUCAAAGUUAAACGCUCGCAAUUGAAACUGACAUGAUUGUUUAUUUGAGUGUAAAGUUGACACUCUGUAGAUGAUGUUGAUAGUAAACUAUGGCUGAUAAAAUAGCCCUGAGGUGAUAAUGAUGAUGGUGAAAACUGCAAUCAUCUCCCACAUACAUAUGAAUGAAUGAUUUCAAGUUUGACCCAAUUUCCUGUUGAGAAAAAAUUUUCACAAGUUAAUCAAAUUGCAACCAAAUAAUAAUUUCAUAAUUUACAAUCAAAGAAACAUCAACACGAAACUCACUAAAUCACCAAUUCCAUGAUAAUAGACACUCGAUGAGAUGCAGAAGAGAAAAUAAUAAGAGACAUUUCCAAUUCUCUUCUCGCUUGUAAUGGUCAAAACUAUGCAAAUGACCAUUAGCGAUCUUGUAACAAUCAAUGACACCUUAUAUUGGAUAAUAAAACAACCGCAACAUACACUUAAUCUUUUCAUA